ACGGAAGUCAUAAUCGUUAUUCUCGUGGGUUUGUUGCGGCCAACCGACCGGAAUACACGGCUUUCUUCUUUCCUCCUUCUUCGCGCCUUUCUACGCAUAGAAUGAACGAUGAACUCUUUACAUCCUCAUUGUGGAUCAGGUUAAAGAGAUUCCUUCGUGAAUUCUUUAUUUCCUUUUGUUCGUCUGUCGUGAGAUGGUAUAAAGAUGUUACGAAACAGACAGAAUGACUAGCGAGCCCUUCUCAUUCAAUCGGAUUCAGAUAAUUUCAAAUUUUCAUUGUUUUAUUUCAAAAGAUAUGGUUCUUAAAUUAAAAGAAUUUUUAAUUAAUUUAGCCUUACAGCUUUCUCAUAUCUUUUAAUAUUUUGGCAAGCUAAGACGAUUCCUUAAUCUUUAUUGUCAUUGUAUCUUAUUUUCGGUAUUAUUAUUUUGCAUAUCGUAUACUGUUCUGUCAGUUCAACGACGUUAGACGUUAAGGCCAAACUAUGGAUAUUCGUAUUACAGCCCAUCUCCGCCCUUGAUCAUCAACUAUUACACGUACCAAAAUCAACCUGAUGAUUUGGCCAAACUACGAACAGACAUGCAUGAUCAAAACAUCAGAAAAGAAAACGGCGGCUCGACACCCAUCGACCAACGCUACUACCCCCGAAGAAUAAACAGCAACGGAGACACGUCCGGCACGUCGACGGAGGGUGAAAAAAAAUCCUUCCACCAAAAAACCUUUGCCUCCAGACAAGCGGAUGCAAAUGGAACGGGGGGAAGAAAGUGGAGGAGGUGGUGGAAAAGGGUGAGGAGGAAGGGUGGCGAUGCUAGAGCUGGCAGAGUUGGCCGGCCAAGAGGUCGUGAAAGAGGGGUUGAAAGGAGGAGAAAAGAGGUGGAGCAGAGGAGAGAGCGAGGGUGGCAACACGAGGGAAAGGGAUGCCGUAGGAGGGUUGAUAUCGGCUAGAAGGUGAGCUUCGGAACGCAAUGUCCGGCCUGGUCCAGCCGGCAGAGAUGCGAGUAUUGAUCUAGGCUCAGACCUAACCCACCCUCCUCCAGCAUUUCCACCCUCCUCGGCCACCUCCAGCCGCCUCCUUCGCCUCCACCAUCUCCGAGCUCGUCGUGAAGCCAGCCCUGCUCCGUUCCUGGGGGUCGUCGCUGAGAGAAAAAGGGAUGGAAGCGCGGGGUGAAGUCUGAACAGGCCGGAGAAGGGUGAAGGACAGAGGUGGAGGAGGAUGGCGACGGGGGCCGGAGGCUCGAAGGAGGACCUCGAAGUCCGGCUUGCCGAGCUGCCCCUUCAGCUACGCACGUUCACUCUCACCUCCUCCAACUCCGAUCUCUUCCUCUUACAUUAGACACGCUGCAGUGGUUCUCAGUUUUUGGACACCGGCGUAUGGAUAAGAUUUUGGGCACGCAGGUUUCUGGAAUUUCGUCUGUCGGAGAGACGUAGGUUUCGUAUACUUGGCAUAUGAAAUAGAAUUAGUAGGAACAGCGAGAGGGAUGGAGAGGAAGAGAAAAGGAAGAUGUAGAAGGGAUGGAAAACGGGUCAUCACGAGCGGAGAAUUGAAAAUCGAGGUUCUUCGUCGAUUCUCAUGGCCGUUCGUGCCUUUAAUGAAUAAAUGGCGAGUUUCCUUGGCGGAUGGGUGGAAAGGGGUGAAAAUCGAAGGCAGCCACGCCCUGGUGAAGAAAGAACAAAGAAAAAUCGCGGCACGCCGGCCGAUUGCUCGCGGCCCGUUGAAUCCGGAAGCCGCCACUCGAAAAGGAGACGCGUUUCGAGCGUAUCAAGGCCAAGGUUUAUUAGUGGCGGAUCAGUUUCAGAAGCCAGACUAGGUGUCAAGUGCUUGCAAGUGGUCUGAAGUGGUGCUCGUAAAACGUGAAUAUAAACGGGCGGACGAAAGUGUUGCCGUCUGCAACCCGCUUUCGCCCACUUUAUCGUGUCUCUUUCCUUGCUGUUCUAUUUCUGACGACUUUUCGACCAACUAUCCACGUUCUGCUAUCAACACGAUACUCGUACAGUGACUCAUCAAAAUGUUUGGACACUUAUAGGCACCUCUGACGAAUACCUUGUGCGUGGAAUGUGGACUUUUACGCAAACUCAUAUUUUUACGAAGAAGUUCAUAUAUUUACAUCUAUGCUACUUAAACGAAGGAUUGAUUAUUCGUUUGUUUAAUUUUCUAGUACGAACGAAUACACGAACUACGUAACUUCUAUCACAUAACGUUAUAAAUUAACGAAUUAUUACGCGUAUUAUCUACAAGAUUUAAAAACAUUCCUAGAGUGUACGAAGAAUACUCUAUAGUUGUCUAUGUAGGUCAAACAGAGAAUCUGUUAAACUCUGAAAUAUAGCCGUAAUACGUAAGAAAAUCAA